GGCAAUCCUCCUGGCUCAGCCUCCUGAGUGUUGGGAUUACAGGUAUACGCAGUGAGAUACUGUGUCAGUUCAGACGCAUGACUAGCGUGAUCACCGUCCUGUGCUGCCGACACUUUCUCCUCCAGGACUAAAGCAGACAAAGAUGCUGAGUAACAAACACCUGGACACCAGCUCGACAGGAACGGUUCUACUGGGGCUGGAGGGCCAGGUAGCUCCAGGCCUCAGUAGACUGCAAGACACAAGCAGCGGAACUUGGACCUUAUCCCGGUGGCAGUGGGAUGCCUCAGAGUGACAUGAACAGGUUUGUGUCUCAACCCUGCUGAUGGCUGCCCUGAGGAUUCACCACUGAAUGCAGCGUCCAGAGGAGAGAGCUAAGCAAGGCAGCUCGUUGAGGCACAGAGAUAACACACUAGAGACAACCGGACCAGAGUGAGGAGGAGGAAGAGCAGCUUAUGAAGAUCCUGGUUUCUGGCAUAGGUGACAGCUGUCAGAAACAAGGGCAGGAACAGAAGAGGAAGAGCAGGAUUUGAGGAUAGAGAACCCGUUCAGUCAUUCAUAGAUGAGCUGCGAGCAUCUGUGGGCCUUUUGGACAUGUCUGCUCUUUAGACACGGCGACCUGGAGUUCAGGACGGAUGGCUGGGCUUGAGAAAUGGAUUUGAGAGUCCCAGUAUGCACAAGAUAGUAGAAGCAGCAGGCAUGCGCGACCUUAUCCAUGCCUGUUUUCAAUAAAAUAAGGUGCAUUUUGUAUUGUAGUAAAAUUCACGUAAGAAUUACCAUACUAGCUGGAUGUAGUGGCAUGUGCCUAUAAUCCCAGCACUCUUGGAGGCUGAAGCAGGAGGAUCACACGUUUGA